rnacentral:rRNA from 1 species
ACGGAGGGUGCGAGCGUUAUUCGGAAUUACUGGGUGUAAAGGGUGUGUAGGCGGCCCUUCAAGUCGCGUGUGAAAGUCCAGGGCUUAACCCUGGGAGUGCACGCGAUACUGACGUGCUUGAGGGCUGGAGAGGUAAGCGGAAUUCCCGGUGUAGUGGUAAAAUUCGUAGAGAUCGGGAGGAACACCAGCGGCGCAGGCGGCUCACUGGACAGUUUCUGACGCUAAGAUGCGAAAGCGUGGGGAGCAAACAG